rnacentral:rRNA from 1 species
AUUGAACGCUGGCGGCAGGCCUAACACAUGCAAGUCGAGCGGUAGAGAGAAGCUUGCUUCUCUUGAGAGCGGCGGACGGGUGAGUAAUGCCUAGGAAUCUGCCUGGUAGUGGGGGAUAACGUUCGGAAACGGACGCUAAUACCGCAUACGUCCUACGGGAGAAAGCAGGGGACCUUCGGGCCUUGCGCUAUCAGAUGAGCCUAGGUCGGAUUAGCUAGUUGGUGAGGUAAUGGCUCACCAAGGCGACGAUCCGUAACUGGUCUGAGAGGAUGAUCAGUCACACUGGAACUGAGACACGGUCCAGACUCCUACGGGAGGCAGCAGUGGGGAAUAUUGGACAAUGGGCGAAAG